rnacentral:rRNA from 1 species
CUGACGCUCAUGCUCGAAAGUGCGGGUAUCGAACAGGAUUAGAUACCCUGGUAGUCCGCACGGUAAACGAUGGAUGCCCGCUGUUUGCCAUUUGUGGUAAGCGGCCAAGCGAAAGCAUUAAGCAUCCCACCUGGGGAGUACGCCGGCAACGGUGAAACUCAAAGGAAUUGACGGGGGCCCGCACAAGCGGAGGAACAUGUGGUUUAAUUCGAUGAUACGCGAGGAACCUUACCCGGGCUUGAACUGCACAGGAAUGCGGGAGAGAUCCCAAAGCCCCUCGGGGCCUGUGUGGAGGUGCUGCAUGGUUGUCGUCAGCUCGUGCCGUGAGGUGUCGGCUUAAGUGCCAUAACGAGCGCAACCCUUCUCUUCAGUUGCCAUCACUUCGGGUGGGCACUCUGGAGACACUGCCACCGUAAGGUGUGAGGAAGGUGGGGAUGACGUCAAAUCAGCACGGCCCUUACGUCCGGGGCUACACACGUGUUACAAUGGCGCGUACAGAGGGCUGGCAUACGGUAACGUGUGUCUAAUCCUUAAAACGCGUCUCAGUUCGGACUGGGGUCUGCAACCCGACCCCACGAAGCUGGAUUCGCUAGUAAUCGC